UUGAACGCUGGCGGAAUGCUUUACACAUGCAAGUCGAGCGGCAGCGCGGGGGCAACCCUGGCGGCGAGCGGCGAACGGGUGAGUAACAUAUCGGAACGUACCCUAUCGUGGGGGAUAACACAUCGAAAGAUGUGCUAAUACCGCAUACGACCUGAGGGUGAAAGCAGGGGAUCGCAAGACCUUGCGCGACAGGAGCGGCCGAUAUCGGAUUAGCUAGUUGGUGAGGUAAAGGCUCACCAAGGCGACGAUCCGUAGCUGGUCUGAGAGGACGACCAGCCACACUGGAACUGAGACACGGUCCAGACUCCUACGGGAGGCAGCAGUGGGGAAUUUUGGACAAUGGGCGCAAGCCUGAUCCAGCCAUGCCGCGUGAGUGAAGAAGGCCUUCGGGUUGUAAAGCUCUUUCAGACGGAAAGGAAUCGGGCGGGUGAAUAGCCUGCCUGGAUGACGGUACUGUCAGAAGAAGCACCGGCUAACUACGU
rnacentral:rRNA from 1 species